ACUAGGAGUUAGUAGCACAUGUUUUUGUUUCUCUUAUCUCCAGUGACCAAUUUGUAUUUCAUCUCCUGCUGUACAUGACAAGAAUAUACUGCCAUGUAUUCAAUAGAGAGUUAAAGCAAGCAAGUGAAAUUGGAAGGAAGCUUUUGGAAUACACUUAUGUUCACCAUAUGGAAACCUCCAGCAAGUCCAGAAUGUGGCAUGAUUAAGAAAGAGGACAGUUUUCUCCCUUUGAAGGAAUUGUGUCUGCAGCUGUCUGUUCUCUUCUGCCAUCAUGUGGGUAUUACUGAAGUGCAGAAAUGCAGCAGCUGUUGGGAGAGGACGAGAGGAUCCCCCUGCGCUUCCUGGGUACUUUAGGCAAAUUGGGGUAACUGCCUUUUCACUCCAAAACUGUCUAGCAAGAAGCAUGAAAUCCAAAACACUUCUCCACACCUUCAGCUCUUUUACAAGAGUUAAAUGCAGUCAUUGAAAUAAAAUAAAGUACAAUAAAAUAAAACCCCAGUCCUUUCCCCGCAGAGAGGUUUUAAUGGAAUGCAGCACUCUUUGGGGUGAUGAUGAUAUUCUGGGUGUUUAUUCUAAGGAAGCCCAGCAGCUGAACCCCUCCAGGCUGGGUUCUGC